rnacentral:misc_RNA from 1 species
UUUUGGUAAGAGAAGCAAAAUUUUCCUCGCCGAUGAACCUCUACACACUUUUAGCUUCAAAUCUACCUGCUUCAAGUUGCAGAAACCUUCAUAGACUGCCAACAAAGAAUCAAAUGUCUNNNNNNNNNUGCUGUGCCUCCUACAAAAUCAGUAACAGAUUCGAGAACGUGAAGAGCAAUGACACGGUCACCAGGCUUUGCCACUUUCAUCAGCGACCACGUAAGCAAUUCUC